GUAGUAUUUCAGGUAUGAGUGAGGGAGAUUGCUGGCUAGGACAGGUGCACACCCUCCCAAGGCGAGUCAACUGGCAAGCACAGCAGGACAGAAGACUAAAGAAUUGGGUUCAUCACUGAAUGAAACUAUUGUAAAACCUACCAGGAACAAGGUAAAGGAUGGUUCCAUUCUAAAUGAAAUGUCCACAGGAAUGAGCAGCUUGGCAUCAAAGGUG
rnacentral:lncRNA from 1 species